UCCGGUGUGGUUUAGUGGCUUAUAAUAUGGUAAGGCAGCAGUCUCAAUCAUCCGUAACUGUCCACGCUAAGCCCUUCUCAAGGGGCAGUUCUGCCAACUGGAUCCCCAAGACCCAGUGUUCGAUUCCUGGCGCCGGAC